CAAGGCUUGACAUCCUCUGAAUCCCGUGGAAACAUGGGAGUGCCCUUCGGGGAGCAGAGAGACAGGUGGUGCAUGGUUGUCGUCAGCUCGUGUCGUGAGAUGUUGGGUUAAGUCCCGCAACGAGCGCAACCCCUGUGUUUAGUUGCUAACGCGUAAUGGCGAGCACUCUAGACAGACUGCCGGUGAUAAACCGGAGGAAGGUGGGGAUGACGUCAAAUCAUCAUGCCCCUUAUGUCUUGGGCUACACACGUGCUACAAUGGCCGGUACAGACGGACGCGAAGCCGCGAGGUGGAGCAAAUCCGAGAAAGCCGGUCUCAGUUCGGAUUGCAGGCUGCAACUCGCCUGCAUGAAGUCGGAAUCGCUAGUAAUCGCAGGUCAGCAUACUGCGGUGAAUACGUUCC
rnacentral:rRNA from 1 species